UACGUAGGGUGCGAGCGUUGUCCGGGAUUUAUUGGGCGUAAAGAGCUCGUAGGCGGUUUGUCGCGUCGGCCGUGAAAUCUCCACGCUUAACGUGGAGCGUGCGGUCGAUACGGGCAGACUUGAGUUCGGUAGGGGGAGACUGGAAUUCCUGGUGUAGCGGUGAAAUGCGCAGAUAUCAGGAGGAACACCGGUGGCGAAGGCGGGUCUCUGGGCCGAUACUGACGCUGGAGGAGCGAAAGCCGUGGGGGAGCGAACAGGG
rnacentral:rRNA from 1 species